rnacentral:lncRNA from 1 species
AUGGAAUGGAUGUGUCAAAUAUUUACACUUAACAGGAGUGUAAGCUGUAUAAUGUCUCUAGAGAAUCACAUCACCACAAGUGUUAGAAACAAAGCAUCAACUGGGAUACAGCCUGGCAUACUCGAAAGUUCAGACACUCCAAUGGAAACUCAGAUGUCAGCCCAGCCCAGCUUGUUCUCAGGUGCUCCUUCGGUGAUGGGGCAGGCUACGAUAUGCUGUAUGGUAACUAGUCCUGAAGGACAGGUUGGAGCCAAGAAAAAUAUUUACAGCCCAUGUGCCCAUGUGCCAUUAUUGAAUGUGACAGGACAAUCAGCAAAUUCAUUUUGGCUUAACAAUAGAGUUAAGGGAACUCAGUCAGGCACCGGCUGGAGUCCAUGGCUAAGGGGCCAAAGAGGAUGCUUCAUAUGGAGAGAAGAAAAGGAAAACUUUGGAAUGGAGAGGAAAAGGAAAGGAAACCUCUCCCUGAAACUAAAACAACAACUUUGA